UACGUAGGGGGCAAGCGUUGUUCGGAAUGACUGGGCGUAAAGGGUGCGUAGGCGGUGUAGCAAGUUAGAAGUGAAAUACCUAGAGCUUAACUCAGGUGCUGCUUCUAAAACUGCUAUACUUGAGUGCAGUAGAGGAAAGUGGGAUUCCUAGUGUAGCGGUGGAAUGCGUAGAUAUUAGGAGGAACAUCAGUGGCGAAGGCGACUUUCUGGACUGUAACUGACGCUGAGGCACGAAAGUGUGGGGAGCAAACAGG
rnacentral:rRNA from 1 species